GGUUUUUUAGUGUUCUUUCCAAAUAUUUAAUCUAGGCUUUCCUCUAACUCCCAUCUCCUUUUCUUUAUAGUCCUGUUAUUCUUCCGGAUAUGUCAGUAGCUCUAAAAACUUGGUCGCCGCUACUCUCCGUGGAGCGGAAAUCCUGCUCCACCCCCUCUUUUGAGUCCCACUUUCACUCUGGGACCCUAUUCCUACAGUCAUAAAACGGUAGAGAACACAUCACACAGCCAACGAUGCUUGAGUAAAAGUGAAAAAAAGUGCAAGUGAGUUCGCCAAUCAAACAUCGAUUUGGAAAUACUUUAAAGACAAAUAGCACUUUUAUUGUUCUUAUAAGUAAGUACUUGUUAUUGUUGUACUCUUGUUAUUGUUGUGCUCUUAUUGUUUUGUGUACUUUUAUUCUUAAGUAUUAAAUGCAGAAAGUAAUAAAUACCUUUUUGUAUAUCUUCUUGUUAGGUCAUUAGGGCAAGGAAGUGAUGUUGACUUGACCAUGUCAUCCAGUCACCUGACAACCAAGUCACGCCCACAGUCACAUGACAAUUGAGCCACGCCCAUAGAACCGGUAAUAAAAAAAUUUGAAUACUUUUUGCAAAGUAGUUGAAAUUGAUAGCUGAAGCUUUCUAUGACUAUAGGAAAAGAAGAAUGUACUGUAACUCUGAUAGCCUUGGGCACUUGUUCAUUGUAUGUUUUUCUGCAGCUGCAAGUUGACAGCUGGUUUUCUCUGGUUGAGCGCACAGCAUAAGUGAACUGCAGCCACUUCAAAUGAAACAAACAGGCACAGCUUAGUGGGGGGAUGUGACAUCAGUCGUGCUGACUCUUCUGAAAAGGUGUCCGUGAAAAGAGCUUUUACCGAAAUACCAAGGAAAUCUCCAUGGGAACCUUCAAAGUUGGCUGAAAGUGGACUUCGAGCCAAAGGUUGCUGGCUCUUGAAGAAUGCCAAGGGGAAGACAUGGAACAGAAUGGUCUCUGCUCAAUAUCGGGGCAUUAAGUAGUAGUUGAAUAAUUGUGGGAUCCACUGAUUAGCUUACAAAACCUUGUGUUUCUUGCAAGCAGUCAUAUUCCUGUGUGCUUCUAAUUGUUAAACAUACUUGUUUGAAUAAUCUAGCUGUUUCCAACUGCAUUUGCUGCUGCUGUUUUGCUGUACUGUGGUUAAUGAUAGCUUACUUAAUAAACCAGACUGGGCACACA
rnacentral:lncRNA from 1 species